CUUCAUGCAUGCAAGGCAAUCGCUUUACCACUGAGCCACCUUCCCAGCCCCUAUACUAAUUUUUAAAUACUUCUGAUACUUGUUUUAUCUUGUCCUGCCUUGUACAGUCAUUAAGCUUAUACUUUACUAUCACUGACAGCCCUAAGAUUCUGCUUGCUAGAUCUGUGCUUUCGUCUUUGGCCCAUCCUGUCUCUGUAGACUUGGAUUCUUAGGCCUGUGCUUAUUAUACUGGAGAAUGUGUAACUAAUUAGAUAAAUUUGUAAUUUAAACCUUUUAGAUCAAACCUGCAUCCAUUAUUGCUAGUGAAACUGGCUCACCCUAUCCCCUGGGAUGGCCUGAGCACCCUCAGACGUUUCUGCUUACGUAAAAAGAGCAGGUGAAUUCCAUGUAGCUCUGGGCUUGCUCUGUGACCCUCCUCCAAUUUUUUGCCAUUUUUUUUCAUUUUCAGGCCUUAGGACCUUAGGUGACACUACCCAAUCUACAUAAAUAAGGAUUCCUCACUACAUCUUCUAAGCCCAAAGAGUCUUCAGUGAAUUUGGUAGAGCAGUGAUAGACAGCUAGCAUUUUUACCAGUAACCUGGUUUGCUUGUUUUUUCAGCUAAAACGGUACAUGGUAUUUUGACUUCUUAUACUCUUUUACAAGUAUGGUCUAGGUACAAAUGAAAACCUUGAAGACAAAUCUGCUCUUGAGGUGACCAGACAUAUCUGUGGAAGUGUGGCAUCCUGUAGGACAGACUGAAAUGCAUGUGCUCAGUGAAGGGUACCUGCCUGGAGAGACAUAGAAUGAAGGACUAUGCUGGAGAGAAGAGAAAGAAGAUUACUGGGAGUGGUGGUGGUGGUGGUGCAUGUCUUCUUCUCAGCAAAGCAGGCUGAAGCAGGAAUAUCUUCAGUUCAAGGCCAGCCUUGACAAUACAGGGAUCCAUGUUGCCAAAAUGCAAGAUCAAGAGGACUAGAAGAAAUCUUUUUGUUCUUUAUAUUAUUUCUGGAUGAUAUGUAGGUAAUGUUUUUAGCUUUCCUUCCCAGCAUAAUAAGUAGAUAGUAUGAAUCUCACUGUACAUCCCUUUGGACUAUUUAAUACACUGUGAAAAUUUCAUAUUGAAAUCUAGCAUUUACCUAGGAAAAUGGAUUCAUUUUACUGGUAAACCACAACAGAAAUUGAGAAUGUAAACAAAGCCUGUCACCACCUGUGUGGUGAAGAAAUUGAACAUUUCAUUCACCCAUCAGUUGUUCUCUGUAGGUUUUUCUUUUAUUGGCCAUGGGACUUUAACUUGGCUUGGGGCACUGUUCCUGAGGUUUCUUGCUCAAGUCUAGCACUCUACCACUUUUAGUCACAGCUCCAUUUCUCAUUUUCUGGUGCCUAAUUGGAGGUAAGAGUCUUGUAGACUGUUUUGCCUCAGUUAUCUUCGAACCAAGAUCCUCAAAUCUCAGCCUGCUGAGUAGCUAGAAUUAUAGGUGUGAGCAGCCAGUGCCUGACCGCUGUCCAUAGUUUUACCUGUAUAGCUUGGAAAUUCUCACCCUCAUUUCCUCUCCUGACUCAUCUCAAUUUUUGGCAUGUUGGCUUACUCUCUACCCCUAGUGCCUCAUUCUUACCUGUUGAUUGGGACCCAGCACAUUUAUGGGCUCUGUCCUUCCUGAUGAGCCCAUCCAGUCAAAGCUUUUCCACAUCAACUUUCAAGACACAAAGCACCUUUCCAAACUUUCAUGUUUUCUUUAAUUUGUAGUGUGUAGAUGUUUUUGGACCUGACCCCAAGCCCCUCCCUCACAAGGACAAGGAAUGUGUAUUUGGCAUUUUUGUGUCCCUAACAUGCAGAAAAAAAGCUUAAUAUUCAUUUGUGAUAGUCAGUGGCACAUUUGUAAUGUGAUUUCUUUAUGAAUAAAAUUUUUAUUUAAUACA